GGGUGCUUAGCUCAGCUGGUAGAGCGUCGCCCUUACAAGGCGAAGGUCACAGGUUCGAGCCCUGUAGCACCCA
rnacentral:tRNA from 1 species